rnacentral:rRNA from 1 species
CCUACGGGUGGCAGCAGUGAGGAAUAUUGGUCAAUGGGCGGGAGCCUGAACCAGCCAAGCCGCGUGAAGGAAGAAGGCGCCAGGCGUCGUAAACUUCUUUUGUCGGGGAACAAAGGGCGCCACGCGUGGCGUUGUGAGUGUACCCGAAGAAAAAGCAUCGGCUAACUCCGUGCCAGCAGCCGCGGUAAUACGGAGGAUGCGAGCGUUAUCCGGAUUUAUUGGGGUUAAAGGGUGCGUAGGUGGUUAAUUAAGUCAGCGGUGAAAGUUUGUGGCUCAACCAUAAAAUUGCCGUUGAAACUGGUUGACUUGAGUAUAUUUGAGGUAGGCGGAAUGCGUGGUGUAGCGGUGAAAUGCAUAGAUAUCACGCAGAACUCCGAUUGCGAAGGCAGCUUACUAAACUAUAACUGACACUGAAGCACGAAAGCGUGGGGAUCAAACAGGAUUAGAUACCCUAGUAGUC